rnacentral:lncRNA from 1 species
AGAUCGAGAAAGUUAAGCUGCGAGAGUUUGGAAAUGGCUUGUGGGAUUUUGCCGGUGGCGUUGCAGGCGUGGAUGGUUAGGUCUUGGAGGUAGGGGAGGUCGCCAAUGGCGGCCGGAAUAGGGAGAUGGAGAUCGGUUUGGGCGAGGACAAAUUCGGUAAUUCGGUUGGUUUUGUCGUCGCAUUUCACCACGUACCAGUGGUCGCAGCAGUCGGUUUUGGGAUCCCAAGAGAUGAGGAAGUAAGGGUCGUUGAGGUCUUUCUUGAUCUGAAGGAGGGUAUUCUUGUCAUUUGGGUGGCACCUCUCUGUGAAUGAGACCGAGAGAAAGGAAAUAGAAAUGAGGAAGAGGAGAGGAAGAUGGGAAGAAGCCAUGGAUUGGAAUUUGAAUUUUGGAUAAUGGUAAUAGUGUGACAACUAUCCGAAAAAUGCCCCAAUUUAUAUUUGUCAAACCUAUUAUAAAACGAAGGGAAAACUUGUAUACGGCCAAUAUAAAAACAGUACCAAUCAUGGACCUUUAAAUAAAGUAUAAAUAAAUCAUGUAGCCCUUUACAUAUUUCUUUUUAAGUUUAUUCUUUUUGGCAUUAUAUUUAUGCAGUAUAGAACUUCGUUAACGGAAUUUUGGUUCAAGAUUGAAUUUUUAUUCCAUAACAAUAAUAAUAGGCAACAUCACACAUUACAUAUCAAAUCUUAAACAACAUUAAAAUUUGACACCAAUCAUUUGCAGUUGGGCAAAGGUUUACCACACAAGCACUUGUUGUGAAAGAAGACGGUGGAAUCGAGUUCCUGCAGACUGCCGCCGACCGGAAUCUGGCCACAGAGCCUGUUGUAGCUCACAUUCAGAUUAAUAUAAUCAAACUUUGUCAACCCCGCCGGUAAGCUCCCGAAAAUCUGGUUAUGGCUCAAAUCCAAGUUAUGCAUGGUGUCCGAAAACUCAACCUUGGAGAAAUCGAACUUAAACAAGUUCCUCGAGAAGUCGGCGGUGUUCAAAAUCUUCUUUUUCCCGAACAUGAAGGAUAUGUCCCCUUCCAGCUUGUUUCUAGAAACAUCAAACAAGUUGAAGUCCGCACGUCCCAAACUCGCCGGAAUGGGGCCGGAGAGCUGAUUACGGGACAGGUAGAAAUAGAUUUGCUUCGCCUUCAAGUCCCCGAACGAUUCAGGAAUGCCGCCGGUGAGGUUGUUCCGGUCUAACAGCAGGCCGCUGAGCUUCGGCAGCUGAGAGAGCGACGGAGGAAUCGAACCGGUGAGGCCGUUGCGCGACAGUCCGAUGUAGGUGAGCUUUUUGAGGCUUCCAAGGAAAGUGGGACGGGGCCGGUGAGAAGUUCUGCCUGAGAUCGAGGAAGUCGAGCUGCGAGAGCUUGGAAAUGGCUUGUGGGAUAACGCCGGUGGCGUUGCAGUUGUGGAUGGCGAGGUUUUGGAGGUAGGGGAGGUCGCCGACGGCGGCCGGGAUGGGGAGGUGGAGGUUGGCCUUGGAGAGGUCAAAUUGGGUAAUGCGGUUGGUUUUGUCAUCGCAUUUCACGCCGUACCAGUCUUCGCAGCAGUCCGUUUUGGAACUCCAGGUGAUGAUGUCAUACGGGUUUUUCAGGUCUUUCUUGAUUUGGAGGAGGGCUUUUUUGUCAUUUGCGUUGCACCUCUCCGAGAGUGUGAGAGACGAGAGGGAGAGAAUGAGGAGAGCCAAAAUGGGAAGAAUACAAGUCAUUGGUUUGUCCAAUUAUGGAUAUUGGGAU